AAAGAGGAUGGAAUUUCAGCAAUGCUUUUGGGUAGGACUCAACGCAGCUGGUGGAGGGAUGACAGAAAGGAGUUACUCUUUCAGCAUGUUCCUGCUGCGCUGGAGGCCCUGGGAUCUAUGACCAUGACCACAUCUUGCCCCUGAUCCUUGAAGGAAUAUGACUUAGCCCUGACGCUUCAACCCCAUGGUUGACGUAAGGGUUCGAAGUUCGAACACCUUUCCAGGCUGAGUCUCCAACCUCCUAGAAGCCUCUCACCACACAAUGUGAAGCACACUUUUAGAGAAGAGCUGUGACAAAUGGUCAUCUGAGGGAGUAUUAUCAUCAGUCUGACAAAACAUUCAAGACGGAUCACCGUUACCUAUGGAUUUUAAUAUUGGCACAGACUUUGAAGAUUAUCUGGCCUAAUCUAUUAUUUUAAAGAUGAAAUUAAGAACAAA